rfam:Legionella shakespearei DSM 23087 strain ATCC 49655 Lsha_ctg033, whole genome shotgun sequence.
AGACAAGGCUACCGCCGCUCCGCAGCCCGAACGGAUCGAGGGAAACACUGGCUCAAACAACUUUCUUAUCCGAAACUCACG